AGAAGAGUGGUCGAGUGGUUUAAGGCGUUAGUCUUGAAAACUAAUGUAUUUAAUUAAAUACCGUGGGUUCGAAUCCCACCUUUUCUA
rnacentral:tRNA from 1 species